UCAACCUUCCUUUGUAUGAUUUUGUUUUCUGCCACUUUUUUUGAUUUGCUUCCUGUCUUUAAGCUUAGUGAGGGUUUUUCGUUUGUUUGGUCAAAUUUAGUGGGCACUCAUAGUGGGUGCCUUUCAGGUUCCACUUGUUUUUUUUAGUCAACUUUAAGUGGAUGAAUAUCUGUCAGAACCCCUCCUAAAACCCCACCUGUUUCGUUUUGGUUAUUGGUCAGUGACUUUGAUAGUUCCCGCUUCUUUUUGAGCGACAUUUUUGAUUUUCUUUCUGGGGAACAUAACAAAAUGGGGCUUGUCCGGUAUGUUGUUUCCCAUGAGUAGGGUAGUCUCUGAACCUUCUCUGAACCUCCGCCGUUCCCAGAUAUGAGUGUUCAAAAUACACUUGUGGUAGUUUGUCACUGACAUCCACCCAAAGGGGUUAUACGAUUGUGAGAAUUGUUUUGAACGUUGCAAAGGCUAAGACAAUGAAGCCAUGGAUUUUAAGUCAGAAGUGUUUGUGGAAAACCCUACAUGGGAGAUGCUAGAUAAAUGUACAAAGGUGAAUCUGCUCACCAUUGCAAAGCGUUAUGACAUAGUGGCAUCUGGUGAUCCAAAAGCAGUAGUCAUAGAGUUGAUCGGUACCGCUUUCCGGAGAGGGAGGUUGAUGAGAUGGGUACUAUGGGUAGUGGGGGUUAAGUCCCAUAGACGUGCAACUGAGGGAGAUAUAACUAAAUGCAAAGAUGGAGCAACACAAACUGGAGUAUGAGCACAGGGAAAGACAAGGCUGGCUUCUGGUUUAAGUGGGCAUUUGUGUCAAGAAGCAGUGCGGCUUGGUUGGGUCUUGUUUCGGAAGACUCACGGCUCUCGACCUUCGCCUCUUCCCAGUCCGUACGGGAGUUGCAGCGAUGAGACAAGACUGUAACUACCAAUUGGAUACCACAAAAUUGGGGAGAGAUAGGUCUGGAAGCACUCUGAAUCCAGUCAGGCCAUCCUGCACCCCCAACAGAGUUUGAUCUUGUGUCGGAACAAGUACCGCCUUUCAACAAAAAGGAGGUGGAUGUAUAUUUUACUUUGUUUGAGAGGAUUUCCACAUCCCUAAAAUGGCCACGUGAUAUUUGGUCACUGCUCCUCCAAGGUGGUCUUGUGGGAAAAGAUCAAAAAGUGUACGUUGCUUUAUCUCUUGACCAGAGUUCAGAUUUUGAUAAAGUUGUUAUCCUUCGGGCUUACGAGUUGGUCCCAGAGGCAUACAGACUACAUCUCCGUAAAUUACGAAAGACAGAAUCACAAGGUCAUGUUGCAUUCGCAGGGGAACAAGCUUGUCAAGUUUUGAUCGGUGGUCUGGAGGGUGUUUGCCUUUGUCUGACACCUCAGAAAGUGGCUACAGUGUGUUAGUACAAGGCGUGGAGAUGGGUUGCAUGGAAGUUCCAUUGUAUAAUGUGGAACUCGAGUCUGAUCUUAUUUCUAGUUCCGUUGUCGUUGGAGUGAAGCCUAGCCUACUGGCAGGGUCCGAAAUUAACACCCGCCGACCGCAAAAUGCGGUUAGAUUUUCUUUUGGUCGAGUAAAUCUCAGAAGGCUAUCUGCCAAAAUAGUCAUGUAUUAAAAUAUCUGGCAUGAUGGCUCGGUGGAAAUUACUCAUGUUUGCCAGCCACAGACCGUCUCUAGUGCUCCUAGUUUCACGGCACUGUUUACCAUACGAGACAUCAGCUACUCAACAUCGCUCACUUGCCACGGGUCUGCUGCUAGCUAACUGUUCAUUUAAUAGCUGUUAUGUGGAGACAUUUAUCUGGAGUAAGCCAACCUUUGAAACAAAAACCCACACACGAAAAGGACGAAUCACAUCAAAAAAUAACGUUUUGUGAGAAAUGGAGGUUUGGAGAUAAAGGAGUUUCAAGUGGCUGGCGACAGUAUGAUGCUGAGGCUGUGGUGAUAAGUAGUUCUGAGUGUCGCUAGUAUGCUAAAGAUAAAAGCAGAAACAACUAAUUUGUCAUCGGGAUUAAAAUCAUGAAGUUGGAGAACAUUUGUGACCAUGAACACAACAAGUGUUACAUUGCCUGCGUGUCUUUGUGUUUCUGGCCUCUCCUCUUGACACCCUCUGAGCACUAAUGGAAACAUCAGAGCAGACGAGCACGAAGAUGAAGAUACUGUUUAGGACUGUACAUGCCAUUGGCAAGAAGGCAAGACCACUUUCUGACUUGGAGUGGAUGUUUUGAAUGAGAAAAAAAAAAGACUCGCUGUGGGCUCGACAUAUAGAAAUGAGAAGCAGGCCAAAGAGUUUAUGCACCAUAUUGCAGAGGUGGAGAGAACAUUUCUCUCCAUGUCAGAUGGCUCCACAGACAGUUAUUGUGAAAGAGGAGGAGUUAGUUUGUCAGAUUCUGUCCCAAGGGCAAGAUCGAGUCGAAGUUUGUUGGCAGCAAGUCGGUGGAGACGCGGCACAUAUAAGCAUCAGUGCCAUCUUGGAGUGGGUGUGUGAUGAGUGGGGGAGCAAGUUGAUCGCUCUGGGAACAGAUGGAGCUGCUGUGAUGACCGGAGCCAAGAAUGGUGUGGUCAGCUGGCUGAAGGGGGACAGGGCCUAACAUCAUCGGCAUCCACCGUAUGGCACACCGCCUUGAACUGACCUUUCUGAUGCCAUGCGGUCCAACGUGGUGUUUCAGAAAGUAGAAGACCUCCUCAGUAGGCUCUACACCUUCCACCACACCAGCCCACUGAACAGGGAAAACCUGAUUCAAUCUGCUGAUGCCCAAAAUGUCUGAGGUGUCCAGCCGGUAAAGGCCAGGAAAUACUACAGUACUGCGAUGGAGGCUGUUCUCAUCCGCUUCUUUGGCUUCCUGCAUGACACACUAACACACCUGAGCGAUCUGUCCGCCUGUCUCCAGAGGUCCACCAUCACCAUAGCAGAAGCCCGCUGCUCCUUGUGCUCAACACAGACGGUACUUAAGAAGUAACAAAACAGGUAUGUUUAUUUAAGCUGCAAUAAGAAAUACUUACCUUAAGAGAAAGAAUUACGUCAAUAAGAGAGGGCGAGCGACUGAGUGAGAGUGUGUUGUAAAAUAAAAUUCUGAAAGGAUGUCAAAAUGAGCCAUUUAUCACCAGAGAAGGGUCAGAAAAGCGAUUACUCACCGCAGACUGGAAUAAACUUUUUCCUUUAACGAGUCCGAUCAGAAGGAUGUCCUGCUUUCACGGAACAGGGCCAGAUCCACGCCUUUUGCUUGAAGAAAAGAAUCCGGAAAAGGGGAUGCAGAUCCGGAAGCGAACGAGCAAACUCCCAAUGCAUUCCAUUCUCCAUGCUAAUGUGCAAUCGUUGGAAAAUAAAAUUGAUGACCUACUAUUAAAAUUAUACUACC